rnacentral:rRNA from 1 species
UGGGGAAUCUUGCACAAUGCGCGAAAGCGUGAUGCAGCAACGCCGCGUGGGGGAAGAAGGCCUUCGGGUUGUAAACCUCUUUCAGUUGGGACGAAGGUCCGACGGUGAAUAGCCGCCUGGGCUGACGGUACCUUCAGAAGAAGCCCCGGCUAACUACGUGCCAGCAGCCGCGGUAAUACGUAGGGGGCAAGCGUUGUCCGGAAUCAUUGGGCGUAAAGCGCGUGUAGGCGGCCACGUUAGUCCGUUCUGAAAGCCCGGGGCUCAACCCCGGGAGGCGGAUGGAUACUGCGUGGCUCGAGUCCGGAAGAGGCGAGUGGAAUUCCUGGUGUAGCGGUGAAAUGCGCAGAUAUCAGGAGGAACACCAAUGGCGAAGGCAGCUCGCUGGGACGUGACUGACGCUGAGACGCGAAAGCGUGGGGAGCAAACAGG